rnacentral:rRNA from 1 species
CCUACGGGUGGCAGCAGUGAGGAAUAUUGGUCAAUGGACGAGAGUCUGAACCAGCCAAGUAGCGUGAAGGAUGACUGCCCUAUGGGUUGUAAACUUCUUUUAUAUGGGAAUAAAACGUUCCACGUGUGGGAUUUUGUAUGUACCAUAUGAAUAAGAUCGGCUAACUCCGUGCCCGCAGCCGCGGUAAUACGGAGGAUCCGAGCGUUAUUCGGAUUUUUGUGGUUUAAAGGGAGCGUAGGUGGAUUGUUAAGUCAGUUGUGAAAGUUUGCGGGUCAACCGUAAAAUUUAAGUUGAAACUGGCAGUCUUGAGUACAGUAGAGGUUGGCGGAAUGCGUGGUGUAGCGGUGAAAUGCUUAGAUAUCACGAAGAACUCCGAUUGCGAAGGCAGUUCACUGGACUGCAACUGACACUGAGGCUCGAAAGUGUGGGUAUCAAACAGGAUUAGAUACCCGUGUAGUC